rnacentral:rRNA from 1 species
UGGUGGAGUGAUUUGUCUGCUUAAUUGCGUUAACGAACGAGACCUCGACCUGCUAAAUAGUUCGACGAACUCCUCAUGGAGUUCGCUCGUUUGACUUCUUAGAGGGACUAUUGGUGGUUAGCCAGUGGAAGUUCGAGGCAAUAACA